ACACAGGAUUGGAUGGGGCCAACGCCACUGUGUAGCACAGGCGCAGUGCAGUGCCUGCUCUCCUGAGUGCUACGGCCAAAGCAUCUUGAGUAAUGGUGUUUGCAGAGAUGCACCACCGUGUCCGGCUUUGCAGAAGUAUUAUAUAUUUCUUGCUCUAAUAUCUACAUUUUUCCAGUUGGAAUAAAAGAUGCAGGUCCAUAGACCUGAAAUCUAAGGAACUGGUCACAGGGAAAGCCAACCAAUACACUAGAGAGCACUAAAUUUUAACUACUAGACCACCAGAAAAGUAAUCAACUGAUCCAAAAAGAUGUGUGGUGUGAAGCACAGACAGAAUGUAAUGUCCAAACAAGCUGAUUCCAACAAGAUCACAGCCAUUCUCCAGGGAGCACUGGAAAGCACUGUAUUAGGAGGAGGCUUGAGUUUCAUUUGUUGAAGAGGAUUGAAUCAAAGAACACUGGCAACUGAGGAAUGCUGCGAGCAGGAGAAAUGGUUUGCCCCAAGAGAAGGAAGAAGAGAAAGAUGAAGAGGAGGAGGACAAGUAGGCUUGGGGACCGCUGGUGGUAAAUAGAGAGCAGUUUGCAUUCCCUGGCACAGGCUUCCAUCAUUGAACCUCAGCUUGUAUUGCCAAGGCUCCCUUUGACACUGACCCACCUGAAUCACUGUUUUAAAGACUACUGUCAUUCCCCGAGCCACCCAGGUCUGGAAGCUGGAAGUUCAUGAGCAAGUUGCCAGAGGGGCAGAGUUCUUGAUGAGCAUUAGACGGUCCACCCUAUUCUUGCCACACAGCGAAAGUCGACAACUGCAUAAUCCAGUCCAGCCUGAAACUCAUGGCAAUCAUUCUUCCUCAGUUUUGAAGUAUUUGAAUUAUAGGCCCAUAUCACUAUACACUGCCUUCAUAACAACACUAAUCUCAUCCCAGAGAUUCCAUCGUCAUGGCCUAAUCUAAAAUUAUUUUACCUUCAACAAACCUCAGCUCACAAUACUAUCUAUCCCAUUGGAGGCUAAAAUAUCACCAUAUGGAUUUGGGGGUGGGGGAAAAAACCUCAUCCAAAAAUUGUAGUUUUCUGUUGACAAAAGAAGAAAUAUAAUCUGGCCUGAAUUAAAGCAUUUUAAUAAUUG
rnacentral:lncRNA from 1 species